GGAAGUAGAAGUCGUAACAAGGUUUCCGUAGGUGAACCUGCGGAAGGAUCAUUACAGAGUUCAUGCCCUCACGGGUAGAUCUCCCACCCUUGAAUAUUUAUACCUUAGUUGCUUUGGCAGGCCGUGGAAACACCAUGGGCUCCGGCUUAUGCGUGCCUGCCAGAGGAAACAAACUCUGUUUUUAGUGAUGUCUGAGUACUAUAUAAUAGUUAAAACUUUCAACAACGGAUCUCUUGGUUCUG
rnacentral:misc_RNA from 1 species